rnacentral:rRNA from 1 species
AGAACUUUGAAGAGAGAGUUCAAGAGUACGUGAAACCGUUCAGGGGUAAACCUGAGAAACCCAAAAGAUCGAAUGGGGAGAUUCAUCGUCAGCGGUGUUGGCUUCCGUGCGGCUCGCGAUGGCCGGGACUUCGGUCUCGCGUCACGCGGUCGCCGCGGCAUGCCCGGCAUCGUCGGCGUGCACUUCUCCCCUAGUAGGACGUCGCGACCCGUUGGGUGUCGGAUCAAUGGCCGGUCGGUCGUCUGUUGCGCCUCGGCGCGGCAGACCGAUCGGUCCGUCGUCCGGCUGCCCGGCGGUAUAGAACGCUUAAUCACGG